CCUACGGGUGGCAGCAGUGGGGAAUAUUGGACAAUGGGCGAAAGCCUGAUCCAGCCAUGCCGCGUGUGUGAAGAAGGCCUUCGGGUUGUAAAGCACUUUCAGUGGGGAAGAAAGCCUUGGGGCUAAUACCCUCGAGGAAGGACAUCACCCACAGAAGAAGCACCGGCUAACUCCGUGCCAGCAGCCGCGGUAAUACGGAGGGUGCGAGCGUUAAUUGGAAUUACUGGGCGUAAAGCGCGCGUAGGCGGUCUGAUAAGCCGGUUGUGAAAGCCCCGGGCUCAACCUGGGAACGGCAUCCGGAACUGUCAGGCUAGAGUGCAGGAGAGGAAGGUAGAAUUCCCGGUGUAGCGGUGAAAUGCGUAGAGAUCGGGAGGAAUACCAGUGGCGAAGGCGGCCUUCUGGACUGACACUGACGCUGAGGUGCGAAAGCGUGGGUAGCAAACAGGAUUAGAUACCCCAGUAGUC
rnacentral:rRNA from 1 species